CAUCCUUGGACAGGACGAAUGUCACCACAUCCCGGGCCUCACCUGAAAGACCGAGGAACAAUCAGACGCAGGUCUGACCGAGGCCGGAAUGUGCAACGCAGGAAACGCAUCUACGUCGGAGCGUCGGCACGGCGUUGUCAGAUGAAGAAGUUGAACAUCAAAGUUGACCAACUUCUCGGUGUAUGUCCACAACCUUCUACUGUCCAGAUGGCAGCCUGAUGACGCAUUUUGAAGUGAGAGUGACACAAACACUACACACAGGUGUGACUCCACCAAGGGCCACAUACUGAAAAGUUGAAGUAUGUGGGAACCAUUUUGAUAAAGACAAAACUUUGUUUUAUAGGUGACAUAGUAUAUUAUUAUGAUUACUUAGUAUCAAAACUUUUUUUUUUCACAUUAAGCUAAAUUGCUUGCUGUUGGUAUUUCUAACAAAAUGUUGUGAGCCUGUUUUUGUAAGAAUAUACCGGUAAUAAUGAUAGUAAUAAUAAU